UGUGUGUGUGUGUGUAUAUAUAUAUAUAUAUCUCCUGUUGAAAGUGGAAGCAAAUCUUUUCUUCACAGUAACACAACUGCAGCAUUUUAAGCAACACUGUCUGGUCCCUUUCUUUUGGAAGAUCAACAGUUCAAUUCCCCCUACAAGUUACCAAUAUAGUCAAGUCCAGUGCCUCAAUGACCUCACAGAUACAAAAAUGGUUUUAAGACUUAGGGGGUGGGGGAAUAGAGAUCUAGAAAAGUGAAGAGGGGAUUGACACGGAGUAAACUCUAAGUUCCUAUGACAUAGUAUGGUGUAUACCUGUACAUAACAACUGAGGGGGGGAAGAAAAGAAUUCAUUACUUUUUUAAAUGUCAAAUUACAAAUGAAGACUUAUCUUCUAUGUCUCAUGAAAUCCCUAGUGACAGAUUAUGCAAUCAUCCAAAAUAACACCACUUUCAAUAUUAUCCCCAAUAUUUUCAACCUGGGUAGGCUCAUGUUUAUGAAGCAUCUGAACACAUGCGUGCACCAGAAAAAGACUACAGUUGACAAGGUUUGUGCAAAUCUAGAAAUAAGAAUAUUGAAUGGCCACCACAUACAAGCUCUGAGUUUAAAAGGAGUCUUGCAUCUAACUAGUAAAUUUUUUUUUUUUAUAUAAGAUCAGCAUUAAAGAUGGCUCAGAGAAUGGUAAGGCAACAGUGAGAAACGUCAGCUGUAUUUGUCAUCUAGGUGUUUGAUCACACAGCAUGUGCCAGGCUGGUCCUUUGCCGUAACAGAGGAGUGGGUGAGCGGUACAUCCCAAUGGCUGGUCCUAGGACCAGAGGCACAGUUGCAGGUAAAGUGCAGUUUCCGGGUAGAGGCAUGUGGGCACAGCUAGAAGUUCUGUGUCUAAGAAGGUCCUCAACACUUCUUCCCAGAACACCUCAAUCUGAACUUGAUGAACCCCACAGACUCUAGUAGAAACACUCUUAGGCUCACACAGAAGUGCAGAAUACAAGGAGAAUAUGAUUAAGUUAUAAAGGACCCUUUUCUGUUGAACUCACAGGGGAAGGAGAAAUGGUUUCAUUCAGCCAAAAAGUUAUCAGAGAAGAAACUAAUUUCUGGCCUUUAAUUUGCAUAAGUGUAUCAAAAAUCAUCACUUGCUAUUACUGCCCUCUGGAAGUACACAGCCAUAGGUGAUCAACAAAGGCAGAUUUGGAGACAGCAGAAUUAGAACAAUGACUGCUAGGUUCCUAAGGAUAUCAACCCAAAGCCAUCUGAUUUUGGUACCACCUUUGCCCUUUCUUUACUCCUCCAUGGGGGAAAAAAACAAGCUCUCCAAAGCAAGAACAAAAUUAUAUGGCACAUAAAAUAUUUUCAAUCAGUCUUGAAUUACUUUUGUUUUGAGAAAUUCUCUUUGCCCCUUAAUAGAAUACAGUGAUUCGCAUAGCUAGGGCUUUGGGAAUCAUUGAUUUGGGAGUAUGAGCCGCUAUUAUGCACUGAUCCAAUGACGCUGGGCCCAAUAAACGUUUCAAGGCAGAGGAGUAACCAUUCUGCUAAGAAACGAGUGGGCUCCCUGCCACUCGUUUGACAUGGAGCAGACAGAAGAAAAUAAGAGCCUAGGUACACUGCAUCAAAGGAAGGACACAGCUAAGAAGAGUCCUAACCUUCUCUCAAGUUCUAAAAGCAUCACUCCCAUUAAAACGCAUUUCCACACUUAUUUGGAGUGUAAAUAUCAGCCUCUCCAUGAAAUGGCUAAUGUUAGAAGGCAAGAGCAGGGCAAAUAAAUUAUCUUUAAAAUAUUUAAAUAAUUUGUAUAUUAAGAAGGCUAAUUUUAAAAAGUCAAUCCUCAUUGCAGUUCACCCUGAAAUGUGACUGAAAAUCACUGAAAAAGAAGAUUCCCUCCUCAUUCUUCUCUUUCCACAGUUCUGACACAUUAAAUUUUAUAAAGCAUGAUCACUCUGGAAUGCACACUCUUUACUGCACGAUCACUCUGGAAUGUGCACUCUCUACUUAGAAAAAGGGUACCAUUGCUGGAACAACCCAAAGGUCUUAACAUAAAAACAAAAACAAACUUCCUGGAAUAGUAUAAAAUAUCCCCAAACAACUUUUAUGUACCAAAAAAGGAAAUGACAUCUUUUAUCCAUGAUUGACACAUUAGAAAUUUUUGCAUGAUAAGAAAUAUGAAAUUUUUUACCCUAUCAGAAGUUGUUGUGUUAAAUGUUUAGAGGAAUCAACAUCUUUCUGAAAUUGAUUCCAGGUGAUCAAUAACACUAUGAGAGAAAAUCAAUGAUUCACUUAUGCAUCAUACAUGUUUGUGUAUUUCUAGAAAUUACAAAUUUAUCNNNNNNNNNNNNNNNNNNNNNNNNNNNNNNNNNNNNNNNNNNNNNNNNNNNNNNNNNNNNNNNNNNNNNNNNNNNNNNNNNNNNNNNNNNNNNNNNNNNNNNNNNNNNNNNNNNNNNNAUUAAAUAAUAAAUUUCCUUGCCCAAAUCAUGUAGCUCUAAUUAUCAAAUACUUAAUACUGCUGGUAAAUCUCAUAUAAUCAUGCUUAUAAAUCAAGUAAGAUUACUGUGCUCUGAACAUUUUCAGAAUUGAGUUUGUAUAUAAACACAUACAUAUGCAUAUGUCUGUAAGACAAUUAGAGCUAUAUGGAAGCAGGGGCCAAAUUAUUUGCAGAUGGUCACAUCUUUCCUCAGAUGGUCAACGAGCCUUUCUUAGGGGUAGAGACUCAUUUGGAAUCAGUGUUGUACGCUUGGAAUGAAAGUUCUGAGGAAUGUAAAUAUUAUCUCUGAAGAGAGCUGAGCAGAAAAAUACAAUCAAGACAACAGAGAAAUAUGUGCAAGUACCAGGCUUGAGGCCUUUCCACUGAAUGUUCAAAUUCAGCUUCUCCUUGGCCUGUUACCUUAGUUCUGAUUUUACCUAACAGUCCCCAGUUUUUCAGAACUCAACAGCCACUGUGUGUGUGUGCGUGCACGCAGGGGGGAGAGAAAGAGAAGGCAGGAAAGAAGAGAGACAGGAUGAAUAGCCGAACACUCUAAGAACAAUUCUUGAAACUGGCAGACUAGACCUUUCAAGUACAAGGAAAAACUUGAAUGUUAAAGCUUAAAACUCAGUUAAGUUAUAAAUGUCAUAUUUUUCUCAAUUAAAUGUUUUAACUGUUUACUUAAGUAACUUAUUCAUGAAGCUCUCCUAUUUCUCCCCAUGACCAUUCUGAAGGAAGAAAAUACAGACAUUUUCUUUGUUUUCAGUAUAUUUUUUGCGCCGAGGAGGCUGCCUCCGCCAGCAGCAGGGGAGUUUGGUGAGAACAGCUAAAGAGGCACAGAUGACCCUUUUGCUGAGACCCUUUUGCUAUAGUAGAGGUAUUUGCUAGAGUUAUCUGCUCUAACCAAGCCUUCUGUGUGUGUUCAGUCUCUCAGGCCUGUCUCUUUGUGAUCCCAUGGACNNNNNNNNNNNNNNNNNNNNNNNNNNNGGGAUUUCCCAGGCAAGAAUACUGGAGUGGGUUGCCAUUUCUUUCUCCAACCAAGCCUUAGGAGGCUUUUUUUUUUUUAAUGACAAUAAAACCAAAACACUGGUCCGUGGGUUAACUUUGUUAACAGAGCAGACAGAACAGUUUAUAUCUCUUACUCCAUUCCAUUUUUGGCAAAAUAUAACAAGAAGCAAUGGGCUUGAAACAUGAGUACACAUCAAUUGUUUUCUUAACUUUUAAUAAAGUUUUCAAAAUGCAAUACAUGAAUUUUGAAAUAUAUCUUUAAAAUUCAAAAUUCAUUAUUAAUUUCAGUGGGGCUUUAAAAAAAACUGUAUAUCAAGUUCUACUCUUCAGCAGGUCUCAGGUGCCAAUUUCCUAUUUUCAGAUGGCAGGCCUAUUUUGAAAGAGCUAGUUUAUACCUUAAAAUGUCCAGGUACACACUCACACACGUGAACUUAUAUAAAGACAAUUUUUUGAAGCACCAUUUCACAUCUACCAUCAGGAAAAGCAAUGAACAAAUUCAUCUUCUCACUGUAAGUGAAAAUACUGACAGAACUUAAGACUCUGUUCAGAAAUAUUUGAAAAGUAAGGCUCAAAUAACUGUAGAUUCCAAACACACUAUUAAGUGAUCAGUCCCUGAUGAUUAAACAAAUGUCAAAGAACCUAUUUCAAGAUCAAAUAAAUGGAACAAAGAGAGAAUUCUACAACAAAACUCAAUGAAUGAAACAAUCCUUAACUGAACACAUGCAAAAUCUCCCAAUACAACUGGCUAUCAUCCUUAUGGCCUGAUGCAAAACGCAAGGACAAAAUGGAAAAUAUCUAUGUACUCUGCUGUUUAGCCUUCCACUUUUAAGGCUACUUGUUUAAGGAAGACCUUUGCUUUACAGGACCUUGGCACAUUAAAGGAUAAAAUCACUGGAGAUGGUGAUU
ensembl:lncRNA